rnacentral:snRNA from 1 species
UUAGAUACUGCGGCUCUCUGAGCUAAGAUCAUGCGUAGUAUCUGUUAUUUGCAGUGUAAUUUCUGCAACGGUCUCUAAACCGAGACCAAUGAAAUUACCUGUAUUUUUUCCCUACGGACGGGUACUGUGAGCUUGCUCAACCCUGUCCACGGGUCGGCCUCGUAUUGCAUUACCUCAAGGAUUGGCCCAUUAUAG